GUCCUAGGAUCUCUAGAGGAAAGAACCUGGCCUGCCUUACUCUGUUCUAGAACUACCGCUCCAGUAGUCAUAACAAAAGUUAUGUUAACGUUGACAAUGCUGAUGAAGUAGAGGUGACCCAACAAGGACUAAGGUGUUACCAAGACUGUCCAAUCCAAUCACAGAGCCAAAGAGUGGUCCCAGGGCCCCCUGAAGACCAUUGCAGCAAUGACCAAAAGGUCACACAAAUUAAAAAUACGGGUCUGAGAAGCAUUUGAAGAAUAAAGUUCAUUCUUAAGGAACUGUGUGAAAAGUAAGCACGUCUAGUCACGGAGGGACUCUCAGAGCUAGCUAACCGGCAGUACUGCACUGCUUUGGAUCCUCUGCAAAUUCGAGACUCCUUACCUUAAUCAAAAGGUGCAAAAGAGAGCCUGAAAAGCUGGGAAGAGAGAAGUCACCAUCCCUGGCGUAGCCGAGAGAGAGACUUUGUCUUUCCUGUGUUCAGUAUAUUAAAACCACAAAACAAAGCAGAAACAAAUUGCCCUUCACUCCAUCCCUUGAAUGUUCCAACAGCGGUACUUUGUGGAGAUCUUUCCAGGUUAACUGUUACACAGCGGGAGACCAAAGAAGGUUCUAAGGGCGUAUCAGGCAUCAGUCUCUGUGUUCCCAAACUCCAUGGACCACUAUCCGGGUUCCAAGUAUUUCAACUACACUCUGGUUUUUAUGGCAUUAUUGGACUACUGAGUAAUUGCUUGCAACAUGUCAUCUCCCAAGGAGCGAGGAAAUUGGGAGCUGAGAAGGUGAGGGUUUUGGAAACGCAUGCCACACUCCAAAAUCUUGUAAAAACCUCCACUUUCCAAUUGUAUUAGAUGGGAAUGCAUUUAGCUAUAUGUAACAGAGAGCCUACUACAGUUAAUUAACCGGAUGGAAGUUUUAUUAUUUACAGAUUAUAAGAAGUUGGGAGGUUGACAUUGGUAGAUCUGCCCCAGAAGUCAUCAGGGAUCCAGUUUCUGUUCAGUUUCCAGCUUCUUUUUUCCUCAGCAUGUGGCAUUUGUCUUCAUAAUCCCAGGAUGGCUCCAGAACCUUCAGGCAUUGAAACCUGAUUCCAGGCAAGAGGCAGAGGUAAGUGAACAGGAAAAUAAAUAGUACAUAAAUAAGUAAAUAAAUAAACA
rnacentral:lncRNA from 1 species